rnacentral:rRNA from 1 species
GACGAACGCUGGCGGCGUGCUUAACACAUGCAAGUCGAGCGGGGAUACGAGGGAGCUUGCUCCUGAGUAUUCUAGCGGCGGACGGGUGAGUAACGCGUGAGCAACCUUUCUCUCAGUGGGGAAUAACACAGGGAAACUUGUACUAAUACCGCAUGAGACCACAGAGUCGCAUGACUUAGGGGUCAAAGAUUUAUUGCUGAGAGGUGGGCUCGCGUCUGAUUAGGUAGUUGGUGAGGUAACGGCCCACCAAGCCGACGAUCAGUAGCCGACCUGAGAGGGUGAUCGGCCACAUUGGGACUGAGACACGGCCCAA